CCGAGUUAGGGUCUUCUGGGCCCGACCUCCAACCCUUUGUUUAUUCUACCCUGUUGCUUUGGCGGGUCCGUCCUUAGGGGCCGCCGGGGGUCUUAUGACCUCUGGUCCGCGCCUGCCAGUAGCCUUUUUAAAUCCUUUAUAAUUGUGAUGUCUGAGUACAAAAACAAAUCGUUAA
rnacentral:misc_RNA from 1 species